AUCCCAGGGAAGCUGGCUCCCAGCCAUUCACCCAGCACAGCAGCAGGGACCCCAGACAUAGUUUCCAGCUGCGGGAGUCUUUAGAAGGGACAGGCCUCAUGUGACUCUCUCCACUUGCCAUCAAGCAGCUGUGGUACAAAGACGUCACUUCUCUGAGCUCACUCUCCUCAUCUACAAUAUAACUGGGGAUAUCACACCUGAUCUUUCAGACCUAGUGCACAGCGCCGUGGCCUCCCUGGGGCCGGCCCCAUAAAGGGUUUCUGUUCGGGCUGGAGGACUCAUUGUCGAAAAAUUGUCCCUCAAAAAAUUAGCAUGGUACGGUGGAGAAAGCAGAGCGCCUGGCGAAUGACAGCUGCUGGCCCCGGACGAGGGCCAGAGAGAGGAGUUUUGCAAGGUGCCACAUCCGAAAGGCACCUGUCAACCCAGGCCUGGAGUGGCCCAAGGGGUGGCAGGUAAGGGUCUCACGCCGAACCCAGAGAUCAUCGAUUCCACCGGGCCGGCAGGCAGUGAGCUCCAGGGAAGCUCCUGUCUUCGCCUUAUGCUUGUGAGGCAGGCACUUUUCCAGCUGAAUCUGAAUCGUCUUCCCGGCCCCCAGAGCCCCCCGCUCCGAACUUCUAAUCUGCUGAUCUCAACCUCCCCAGGGACGGGAUUAGAGGCGGGCGCCACCGUACCUGGUUAAUGCCUGGCAUGCUCCAACCCUGGACUUGGCGCGUGCUAGACAAGCAUCCUACCAACAGAGGGCUAUUUUCCCUGGCCCCAGUCCCCUCCUUUCUGAACAAGCAAGGAAAAGACACCAAGGAAUCCAGAAUCCGAGCCCCCUAAGGUUACACGCUAACCCCUAGCUUUGUGACCCGGACCACGUGACUACCCUGCCAGAGAUGAUGUCCAGGUCCAAAGUAAAGACUGUUUUAAGGGUUGAGUGAGGUCCUGUGCGAAGGGAGGGGGGGGGAGUCUGCAUACCCUGGCCCGCCUGGGACAGUCUCACAUGACACCUGUGGUCCCAGCAUAAUUAUCCACGGUGCCCUACACUCGCCGAAGUGUCCCAGUUUGGAUGAUGAGUUCUAUGGCUGUCCCAAAUAUAAGUGGGGCUGCAAGGAGUGUUUCUUCCCAUCUCUGCCUCUUCCCGCUCUGCUGGGCCACUGUCUGCGAAAACCUUCCUCUGUGUGUGUGUGUGUGUGUGUGUGUGUGAUGUGGAUGUAGUCCUGUGUGUGAGUCGGGCACAUGUGUGCCGUGGAGCACAUAUGAAGGUCUGAGGACUGCCUCUCAGGUGUUACUUCACAUCUUCCUCUGUGUCAUUUUGUCAUGGGGCCACUGGGUACUCCAGGCCUGUGAAUUUCUACGGUCUCCUGUCUCUGGUCCUGCCUCGCCUGGCUUUAUGGGCGAUCUAGGGAUCUGAACCCAGGUCCCUAUGUUUGCACAACGAGCUGCCUCCCCCGCCCUCUGUGUUAUUACUGAGGCAUCACUUCAAGGCUCCAUCAUGCCAUGCACUCCUGAGAGGACUUCCUGGGGCCGGUGGGAUUCCUUCCUCUCCAUUCUUUCCAGUCCUUUUCACAGGACACCUAAACAUACAACAGAUACUGGAUGACUUGGUGCCUGCCCAAGACCAGAGUGGCCCCCCAGAUUCUGGGUGCAGGCGACUACUCUCUGCCCACUGGCUUAAAGCAGAAAGCUUCUAGACUUGGGGUCACUCAUGGAUGUGGGGAUCUACUGUGAGACAGUAGUGGAGGGUCACAUUUAUCCCCUGUUUGUCACAAUCAGUUCGGGGUGUGGGCCAGGACUCACUCUGCCCCAGACCCUCAACAUCCAGGUUUGAUAUUUCCAUAUUGCCCCGACUCACCUUUUCACCUAAGGGCAGACAGUCCCCCUCCAUGUCCUGGGCUCUAUAUAACCAGGGCAUGCUGCAGUCCAAGCUGAUGACGUAGUUGUCAUUCGAUGUGGCCAACUGAGUAUGUGCAUUUGUCUAUAUUCACACAACUGUAGAGUGAGUGUCAAAAGCAUGGCAUGGUGGCACAUUCCCUUAAUCUCAGCACUUGGGAUACAGAGGCAGGUGGAUCUUGU